GGGCUUUCGCCCCAGGCCUCACAAGGUCGGGAAGGGUUUCCGCGAGCUCACCCUCUCCACUCGCGCACCCGCCGCCGCUUCCUUUAUCUCACGCACCCGUCGUCGCCUCCUCUCCCUCGCGCAAUUGGGGCCAGCUGUUGGGACGACGUUGAGGACGAGGGCGAUGACGUGGUCGGCCUCCUCCACUCUGUGGAGACAACCAAGGCGGUCGCGGUGGCGGUCGCUAGCAUGCAACCCCACUGAGUCGAGCUCAUACGGCAGCUCGACGCCUCCUGUGAGACACGCCGCCACGAGCCGCCUUCUCCACCCACAUCUGCACGCGCAACACAAGUAUGCUUCACCUUCACGCGUGCAACACAGAACACGUUAUUUCGUUUCCACCUAGAUCUCGUGGUCAUGACGCAACCAAUGGCUUCUAUGCAGAUCUCGUCGUCGGCAGCUUCCACACCGCCACUAUGGCAGCCAGUAGGAGGGCCAGCGACAGCCGCGUCGCCGUUAUUCCUCUGACCCUCUUGCUGAUCGAGAGAGGUGGCUGAGAGAGGUGGACCGGCCGACCGGAUGAGCUUGUGGCUAGCUGGAGGAAGAGGUGAGGAGAUGUAUGAUCUGAAUGGGAGUGGGUAGUGGUGGUGGCCUGGCGACGGACAGCAGUGCAGAGUGACGACCUUGCUGCUGUUGUGUCAUGGCGAGAGUGCUUUAGUAGCUUCUUUAUUUGUUUUGACCAGUCUAUAAAAUAAACAAAGAAUCAUUAGCAAUUAUGUAACCACUUGCUUGUGGAUUGUGGUAAUUAUGUCAUAUACGAUAAAACCUGUUAGAUAUGUCACAUAUAUGCUUGUUGCUUGAAAUACUAACAGCACAAUGCAUUUAUUAAGGUGCCGUUUGGUUCACAUAUUUGUAACGUAAUGGGUAACAAAUAACGUUAAAUCAUGUUUGUUUUAGUCCAACCGUAAUCAGAUACCACACUAAAAUUUGAUACCAGCCUAUUCAAAUUUGUUACCGCCAGUAAUCGAGCCGAAACCAUUACCAUUACCAUUUGCGUUACAUUUUUUGAACCAAACAGCACCUAAGUUCUACUACCCUUCUGUUCUUCCUAUUGAAUGUUGCCCCCUUCUGUUUGUCCUCUUCAAACUCAGAUCAGCAAAGCUUCUAUUUUAAUACUAGGAGAAUAUUAUAAUAUACUGUAUGGAUUAGUAAUGCUUUCUUAUGUGCUUAAAUUUCAUUUCUUGUUAUUUAAUUUAAUAGGGAAAAUAACAAUCUUUGAACCUCUAUUGCAUUUCUUGUUAGUUAAUACGAAUGUACAUGUUUGUAUGAUUUCAUAUCUAGCUUGCAUCGGCGUACAAGGUUGAUGCUGGCAGGUGACAGGUUGCCUUGCUAUUGAUGCUGAGAUUGUUGCCCUUCACUUCCUUAGUGCACAGGUGCACAUAGUAAAUGGUCGAAUUGAUUUUUGCGGUGAAUAUUGAAGUUGUACAAUUUUCUGUUAAUUAUUGCUUUCUAUAGAUAUUGAUUUUUCUGUGCAAUGAAUAUUGAAUUUUCUGUUUGGUAGGCAUUCAAAUAUUCUAUGUUAAUUAUUGCUUUCUGUAGAUCU
rnacentral:lncRNA from 1 species